CAGCCGCCGCGGGAAUACGGAGGGGGCUAGCGUUGUUCGGAAUUACUGGGCGUAAAGCGCACGUAGGCGGCUUGGUAAGUUAGAGGUGAAAGCCCGGAGCUCAACUCCGGAAUUGCCUUUAAGACUGCCGAGCUAGCAGGUGAGAGAGGUAAGUGGAAUUCCGAGUGUAGAGGUGAAAUUCGUAGAUAUUCGGAGGAACACCAGUGGCGAAGGCGGCUUACUGGCUCAUACUGGACGCUGAGGUGCGAAAGCGUGGGGAGCAAACAGGAUUAGAUACCCCUGUAGUCCCUGUCUCUUAUAA
rnacentral:rRNA from 1 species